ensembl:snRNA Gm24965 U6 spliceosomal RNA
UGUUUGCAUCAGCAGACCAUACACUAAAAGUAGAAUCAUACAGAGAAAAUUAGCAUGGCCCUUGUGGAAGGAUAUCACAUAGAAUAUAUGAUAUCUAUCUACGUAU